GGGGGUUGUUAAGGUGACACGUUAGCCUUGCAAGCUGACUUAGCGGGGUUCGAUUCCCCGAAUCUCCAC
rnacentral:tRNA from 1 species